GACGAACGCUGGCGGCGUGCUUAACACAUGCAAGUCGAACGGUGAAGCGCUUUCCUUUUUGGUUGGUGUGGAUGAGUGGCGAACGGGUGAGUAACACGUGAGUAACCUGCCCCCUUCUUCUGGAUAACCGCAUGAAAGUGUGGCUAAUACGGGAUAUUCUGCGCCUGCUGCAUGGUGGGUGUGGGAAAGAUUGUGCCUUUGGGUGUUUUCGGUGGGGGAUGGGCUCGCGGCCUAUCAGCUUGUUUGUGGGGUGAUGGCCUACCAAGGCGGUGACGGGUAGCCGGCCUGAGAGGGUGGACGGUCACACUGGGACUGAGACACGGCCCAGACUCCUACGGGAGGCAGCAGUGGGGAAUAUUGCACAAUGGGCGCAAGCCUGAUGCAGCGACGCCGCGUGAGGGAGGGAGGCCUUCGGGGUGUGAACCUCUUUCGCCAGUGAAGCAGGCCUGCUCCUUGUGGGUGGGUUGACGGUAGCUGGAUAAGAAGCGCCGGCUAACUACGUG
rnacentral:rRNA from 1 species